rnacentral:rRNA from 7 species
AGACCCGAAACCCGGUGAUCUAGCCAUGGGCAGGUUGAAGGUUGGGUAACACUAACUGGAGGACCGAACCGACUAAUGUUGAAAAAUUAGCGGAUGACCUGUGGCUGGGGGUGAAAGGCCAAUCAAACCGGGAGAUAGCUGGUUCUCCCCGAAAGCUAUUUAGGUAGCGCCUCGUGAAUUCAUCUCCGGGGGUAGAGCACUGUUUCGGCUAGGGGGCCAUCCCGGCUUACCAACCCGAUGCAAACUGCGAAUACCGGAGAAUGUUAUCACGGGAGACACACGGCGGGUGCUAACGUCCGUCGUGAAGAGGGAAACAACCCAGACCGCCAGCUAAGGUCCCAAAGUCAUGGUUAAGUGGGAAACGAUGUGGGAAGGCCCAGACAGCCAGGAUGUUGGCUUAGAAGCAGCCAUCAUUUAAAGAAAGCGUAAUAGCUCACUGGUCGAGUCGGCCUGCGCGGAAGAUGUAACGGGGCUAAACCAUGCACCGAAGCUGC